rnacentral:rRNA from 1 species
UACGAAGGGGGCUAGCGUUGCUCGGAAUCACUGGGCGUAAAGGGCGCGUAGGCGGCGCGGGUAGUCAUCGGUGAAAGUUCAGGGCUCAACUCUGAAUCGGCCGGUGAUACUCCCGUGCUCGAGCACUGUAGAGGCAGGUGGACUUCCGGGUGUAGCGGUGGAAUGCGUAGAGAUCCGGAAGAACACCGGUGGCGAAGGCGGCCUGCUGGGCAGUAGCUGACGCUGAUGCGCGACAGCGUGGGGAGCAAACAGG